rnacentral:rRNA from 1 species
ACUCCUACGGGAGGCAGCAGUGGGGAAUAUUGCACAAUGGGCGCAAGCCUGAUGCAGCGACGCCGCGUGGGGAUGACGGCCUUCGGGUUGUAAACUCCUUUCGCUAGGGACGAAGCUUUUGUGACGGUACCUAGAUAAGAAGCACCGGCUAACUACGUGCCAGCAGCCGCGGUAAUACGUAGGGUGCGAGCGUUGUCCGGAAUUACUGGGCGUAAAGGGCUCGUAGGUGGUUUGUCGCGUCGUCUGUGAAAUUCCGGGGCUUAACUCCGGGCGUGCAGGCGAUACGGGCAUAACUUGAGUACUGUAGGGGUAACUGGAAUUCCUGGUGUAGCGGUGAAAUGCGCGAUAUCAGGAGGAACACCGAUGGCGAAGGCAGGUUACUGGGCAGUUACUGACGCUGAGGAGCGAAAGCAUGGGUAGCGAACAGGAUUAGAUACCCUGGUAGGAUAGCGU